UACGAAGGGGGCUAGCGUUGUUCGGAAUUACUGGGCGUAAAGCGCACGUAGGCGGAUUGUUAAGUUAGGGGUGAAAUCCCAGGGCUCAACCCUGGAACUGCCUUUAAUACUGGCAAUCUCGAGUCCGAGAGAGGUGAGUGGAAUUCCGAGUGUAGAGGUGAAAUUCGUAGAUAUUCGGAGGAACACCAGUGGCGAAGGCGGCUCACUGGCUCGGUACUGACGCUGAUGCACGAAAGCUAGGGGAGCAAACAGG
rnacentral:rRNA from 1 species